rnacentral:rRNA from 1 species
CCCUUAGAUGUUCUGGGCCGCACACGCGCUACACUGAAGGAGGCAGCGUGUACUCCUGGAUCGAAAGAUUUGGGUAACCCGCGAAUCUCCUUCGUGCUAGGGAUUGAGGUUUGCAAUUAUCCUUCAUGAACGAGGAAUUCCCAGUAAGUGCAAGUCAUAAGCUUGCGCUGACUACGUCCCUGCCCUUUGUACACACCGCCCGUCGCUACUACCGAUUGAAUGAUUUAGUGAGGACUUCGGACUGGGACCGAUGCGUCUUUCGGGCUGCGUCGGUAUUCUGGAAAGAUGUCCAAACUGUAUCAUUUAGAGGAAGUAAAAGUCGUAACA